rnacentral:rRNA from 1 species
AGUCUGGUGCCAGCAGCCGCGGUAAUUCCAGCUCCAAUAGCGUAUAUUAACGUUGUUGCAGUUAAAAAGCUCGUAGUUGAAGUGAGGGAGUGUGUGUUCAUGAGAGCUAGUCUCGAGUGUUCACAACCUCCCCCCUCCAAUCGGUGUAGUGGGGUAUUCAGUUAUUUCACUACUCCUUUGGUCGUUUACUGUGAGAAAAUUAGAGUGUUCAAAGCGGGCGUUUGUUUGAAUAGAUUAGCAUGGAAUAAUGAUUGAAGGCUUUCGUGUUCGAUUUGAUUGGUUUGUUCAUGGAAGCAAGGUUAAAAGGAACAGUUGGGGGUAUUCAUAUUCACUAGUUAGAGGUGAAAUUCUCGGAUUUAUGGAAGAUGAACAGGUGCGAAAGCAUUUACCAAGGAUGUUCUCAUUAAUCAAGAACGAAAGCUAGGGGACCGAAGAGGAUUAGAUACCCUCGUAGUCUUAGCUAUAAACGAUACCGACUAGGGGUUAGUAGAGGUCAAUGUGUCUCUAUUAGUACCUUAUGAGAAAUCAAAGUCUUUGGGUUCCGGGGGGAGUAUGGUCGCAAGGCUGAAACUUAAAGGAAUUGACGGAAGGGCACCACCAGGAGUGGAGCCUGCGGCUUAAUUUGACACAACACGGGGAAACUUACCAGGUCCAGACAUAGGAAGGAUUGACAGAUUGAUAGCUCUUUCUUGAUUCUAUGGGUGGUGGUGCAUGGCCGUUCUUAGUUGGUGGGGUGAUUUGUCUGGCUAAUUCCGAUAACGAACGAGACCUCCGCCUUUAACUAGUGUUGGCUAUUGUGAUAGCUGAUACUUCUUGGAGGGACACUAUACGUAAAGUGUAGGGAAGCUGGAGGCAAUAACAGGUCUGUGAUGCCCUUAGAUGUUCUGGGCUGCACGCGCGCGACACUGAUCUAUUCAACGAGUGGCUGUGUCGAUAGACUUGGCAAAUCUUGUGAAAGUAGAUCGUGAUGGGGAUUGAUGCUUGUAAUUGUUCAUCAUGAACGAGGAAUUCCUAGUAAACGCAAGUCAUCAACUUGCAUUGAUUACGUCCCUGCCCUUUGUACACACCGCCCGUCGCACCUACCGAUUGAAUGGUCCGGUGAACACUUUGGAUUUUAGGCGAAUGAACUGUAAAAGGGGAGUUCGUUUGGGAGAAGUCGUGUAAAUCUUAUCAU